GAAGAGGAAGUCGGGGCUGGCGAGCGGGUGGGUGCGCCUCGGGCCGCUGGGCUCGUCGCCGCCGCCGCAGCCGCCGCCGCCGCCUCUGCGGUCGCGUCAGAACUGAAGAGAGGAAGGGGAGGAGCCGAGAGGAGCCGGAGCGGCCGCCGGAUCUCACCCCGGCCCAAGGGCGGCGGGCGGAGAGGGCUUGCGCUUUAGCGGUUUCCUUCAGGGCAGGUGGCGGCUGCUCCUUUGGGAGCCGGGAGGAGGGCGGCCCCGGCCGCGCGGCCACGCUCGGGUGCGCACCCCCUGAAGGUGAGGCCGUGGGGGCCCCCAACAGGCCUUUGAGAAGCUGUACUGACUGAGCGAGAAGUUGUCCCGCUGCCUGGUCCGCGCGCUGCACCUGCUCCCGGGAGCGAGCGCCCCACCCUUUCCGCGGUGCAGGGCGCGACCCAGCGCCGGGGAACGUGGAGUCGGACCGUGUAGAUGUUUAACCCACAGAGAAUCAGACCAUCAAGUGAUGGCCCCAUAUGGCUACAAGACUAAUAUUUUAUGGUUUUGCCUAUCUUCCAAAUUUCCUGAUGGAAAUUGAAGGAACAAAAUGCACAGAUUUAGGGGGUUUUGUGAAGCUGAGCACCUCACAUUUUAGUACUGAGAGGUUUUUAUAGUAUUUUUCCCCCAUUGGUUUUAGAGAGAAGAGAGAAAGAAGCAUUGAUUGGUCGCCUCCCAUACAUGCCCUGACCCUGGAUCCAACACCUAGGUAGGUGCCCUGACCAGAAUAGAACCUGCCACCUUCCAGUGUACUGGACAGUGCUCCAACCAACUGAGCCACAUCAGCUAGGGCAGUUUCAUGGGUUUUGAAUAAAAAGAGUGCAACCUAGUAAAGUAUACCUUAAGGAAAGUGUGUACCAGAUGGACUUUUUCAGCAACCUGAUCUUAGAACCUUAGUGCUGAAGACAGAACGGCACCCCGGGGAGCCGUCCGCCACCCACCACUUACAACCUACAGAAAAAGAACCAGCUACACUAAACCUCACCACCCAGCGUGAUAACCAGAGGAAACAGCUGGAACUGGUGACUGGAAAAGAGGAAGUUUAUACAUAUCCAACUUGGUCUGCAACUUUUUAGUUCUUUAUUUUUUAUUAAUUAAUCCAGAGGAGAACACAGCUAGUUUUCAAAAUUCAAAAAACUGGAGUUUUAGGUAACAGUUUUCUUUCCUGGUUCAUCAAUUUGUUUCUGAUAGAGAUCUGCUUUCUUUGUUAAAAUAUGAGAAAGGGAUAUUUUUCUCCUACACUAGAAAGCUCUUAUGAGGAAUUAAUCAGUGUUUUAUUAGCCCACAUCAUUGAUUUUUACUAUUAAAGAUUUUUUAAUUAUCUGGCAAAAUUUCUUUCUACAAAUACUACUUAUACAAUAGUAUUCAGUUACUUUUAUAAAUUUUAUUGUGAAAUAUACAUUAAGAUCCAUAAAGCAGUUACUCAGUAUAAUGAGUAAUUAUAAAAUAAACCUUCAUGUGAUCAAACAGAUCAAGAAAUGGAACAUUGCCAGCACCCCAGAAUCCCCCUGUUGACCUUCCUGAACACAACUCAUCCCCUCUUUUUUAGUGAUAAGUGAUACUUAUCCUCUGUGAUAAGUAUUUCCUUGUUUUUCUCUCUUGUUUUACAUGCAUCCCUAAACAGUAUAUCGUUUGGUUUUGUCCUUUCUUUUGAACUUUACUAAAUGGAAAAACCUAAUAUGUAAUCUAUAUCACUGGUACUUACCACUUUAGCUCAACAUUGUUUUUAAUCCAUAUGUUGUUCAGGUUGUUCAUAUAGCUUUAAUUUGUUCAUUUUAAUUGCUGAAUAUUACAUGCCAUGAUUUAUUUAGCCAUUCUAUUGUUGAUGGAUAUCCUGGUUGUUUCUAGUUUGGAACUGUUAUAAAUGCUGCUGUGAACAUUCUUCAUAUGUAUUCUAUCAUGUCUAUAUCAGUUUCUGUGUAGUAUAUACCUGGAAGUGGAUAUGCAUAUCAUAAACUUGAAUAAAUAGCA